AUGGCCGCUGCCGCCGGACGCGUUAGUCGCCAUGGCUGGCUCCCGAUUCCCUGUAGUGAGAGCUGCAUCCCGAGUGACGGUGGCGGUGCUGGAGCUGUUCAAGCUAUGAGCGAUAUCGGCAAGGCGAAGAUACAAGAAAUGCUGGAACCCACUGACUGGAAAUCUGCAACCGGCCACACGAUAUGCUGGAAGCAGUGUCCCCAGAGCUGGAACCAUAGUCCAUUUUUGCUGCAAUCAGCAGUCGCGGGGGUGAAGACGAGAAGGUACGGUGCUACUACCAGAGAGUUUUUUUGCUGGUACUGGAUCCUGCUCCAUUUUUGCUACAACCAGCAGCUGCCAAGGUGA
rnacentral:rRNA from 1 species